AUGUAUGAUGGCUCAGAAGUGGCAUGCUAUGAUCAGCUACGUUUAACCAAAAGAAACUUUCAUGAUUUAUGCACCAUGUUGCGUGAGAGGUGUGGUCUAAGUGGUAGUGUGUAUGUGACUGUGGAAGAAAAGGUUGCCAUGUUCUUGCUAGUAAUGGGUCACGGUCUGAAAAUGAGGUUGCUUCGAGGCACAUACAAGCAGUCUUUGGGAACUAUAAGUACUCACUUUUCCGCAGUCUUAAGUGCCAUUCUAUCUAUGCAUGGGGAGUUCAUUAAGCUUCCAGAUGCUAAUGUUCAACCUCCCGAUGAUUACAAAUGGAAGUGGUUUGGUGAUGCACUUGGAGCACUAGAUGGUUGUCAUGUAGACGUUUCAGUUCCCGUGGCUGCCCAAGGGAGGUACAGGAAUAGAAAGCAAGCUGUCACUACUAACAUGCUCGGUGUGGUGGACUGGAACAUGAAAUUUCUGUAUGUCUUACCUGGCAGGGAGGGUUCCGCUUCCGACUCAAGAGUCCUCCGUGACUCCAUGAGAACUGAUCGCCAAGAUGCAUUUGUUGUACCUCAUGGAAAAUAUUACUUGGCUGAUGCUGGUUACACGAAUGGGCCUGGAUUUCUAGCUCCAUUCAGAUCCACUCAGUAUCACUUGAAAGAGUGGGCAUCAAGUCAGCAACAACCCCAAACUGCCAAAGAGUUAUAUAACUUGCGCCAUUCUCGUGCUAGAAAUGUAGUAGAGAGAACUUUUGGGUUGUGGAAGAAGAAGUGGGGUAUCCUUCGCACUCAAAGUUUCUUUGAUACAAAGGACCAGGUACAUGUGUCCAUUGGGUUUUCAAUACGAUGCCUAGCGGAGUGA
rnacentral:rRNA from 1 species